rfam:Camelus ferus unplaced genomic scaffold scaffold602, whole genome shotgun sequence.
GAGGGUAUAGCUCAGUGGUAGAGCACAUGCUUAGCAUGCACAAGGUCCUGGGCUCAAUCCGCAGUACCUCCA